AUUUGGAAAAGGUUAAGUAACCGUUUCUCCUGCUGCCUCAUUGGUCCACGGAGAAACCAUUAUUACUAUAACACGCUGCUGCUGCUGCUGCAGUGUUCUCCGGGUUUAUCACAGCAUCUUUACCUUUAAUUCAGGCUGUUACCAUGGAGAUUACCUUUCUCAUCACCUCCAGAUUACAGAGCUGGUUUUCUCAGAACAAUCAGAUCAGUUUAAGUCAUCUGGAGAUAAAUCUGAUGGUUGUGCCGCCUCUGAGAAAAAAACAUGGAGAGUUUUUAAAAUAAUGACUUAUUUUUGAUAUGAUUAACCCUUUAAUGCCUGACACCAAAAAUUAUGGCCUGAAAAUUCUAAUUUUUUUUGGAGCUGAAAUGUUUAUUUCAUUUAAUACUGAAUACCAAAAAAAUAUAUAUAUAUUUUUUAACAAAUAUAUUUAUUUAUCUCCUUUGAUUCAUUAGAUGUUUUUGGAAACUGAUAAACUACAAGAGGACAUUUUUAUCAUUUGUCGGACUGUAUUCAGGUGUUUUUUUAGUCAUUCGUUGAUCAGAUUGAUUUGAUAGAAGUUUAUAAAAAUGUGCAUCAAAUAUGAUACAAAAGGCAUUAGAGGAAAACAUAAGAGUCCAUAAACUUUCCUGACCAUCAGGACGUCUGAUAUCUGACUGCAGGUUCUAUCUGGACGUCGUCUCUUCUUUUACACAAACUCUGAGUUAAUUUAAAGAAUUUAUUUAAAAAUGCACUCGGUUUUAUUCUGAAACUAAAACUUAUCUUCUUCAGUUUGCUCGCAGCAUGGAGCCUCUUUAAAAUCUGACGAUCUGACACAGAUUGGUCCACAGACUCGUCCCUGGAUCAUUAGACCUGCAGCUUAUUUACUGAUCAAACAAACUGAGAUUUGAUUUCAGGGAAAAGCCUCGGAGGGUCGACCUCCGUCUCUGUGACUGACUGCUCCUCCAGACUCUCUCUGAACCGCUUCACUACAGUCGACUUCUCUCCAUCUGGAUCUUCAGGUCAAAACACUCAGAGUUAAACUCAUUCUCUAAGAUUUAACCUGAAGUUAACCUCAGUCUGAAAAUAAACGACUCUUUGACCAAUUCAUCAGUCCAGAACCACAGAGUCCGGUUUAAAGAGCUGUGACCGUCCACUGGAGGCAGCUUGGACCCGUUUGUCCACAUGCUGAUACACACACACACACACACACACACACACACACACACACACACACACACACACACACACACACACACUAUCAUUAAACUCUUGACCCCUGCUGCGUCCGUCACUCUGACCAAAACCCGCUCCUUUAGUUCUCUGACUUCUGUCUGUGUCAGCUCCUCGAUUAUUUGGUCGUCUUCAUCUCUCUCCAGCCGGAUCACCUGAUCAGUCACACCUAUAUAAAUCAGCUGUUGUGAGUGGAUGACGGUUCUGCCCGCUCCAAAAGCUCUAUGUUCCCAAACCGCUGAAAUCAGUCUGCUAACAAUGUGAGAAACAACAAACGAGCACUUUAAAAGCAGGACUUAAACUUCCUUUAACAGGCAGAAACCCUGAGCAGAACCAGACUCAUGUUUAACAGUCUUCUGCCCCAAAAGAGAAGAUCAAACUCUGAAAACACCAGACCCAAAGUUAAGGUUUCUGUUCAACGGGCAGAAUCCUCCAAGAAUCAAAGACUUCAUUUAUAGUAGAAAUUAAAUAUCGAUCCAUGUGUAAACAUCUAUAAACACCAGCCUUCAGGAAGACGACCUCAGACAGGCAGAGACAUGCUGAGAAAGAUCUCACACCUCUGAAAUCAAACACUGAAGAAGUGGGCCACGGUGAGAGACCUGGAGCUGGACCGGACUCACAGGUGGACCGGACUCACAGGUGGACCGGACUCACAGGUGGACCGGACUCACAGGUGGACCGGACUCACAGGUGGACCACCAUCUGCCUGAGAAAGAUCGAGCUCAUUUAAAGAGAUCCAUGAUGAGCAGAACAUCCACUCUGUGCCGACCGUCUGACUGCGUCGUGUUCAACAUGAUACCUGCUUCAUUUCCUUCAUGAUUGAAAGUUGAUCAAUCUGAACUCCAGCCGCUCAUUCAGCCAAUCAGCAUGAAGAGUCCGUGGAGGUAAAUGUCAACAAAUGAAUUUAAUUGGAUAACGGGGACAAACAGAUGGUGACGGUGAUGAUACGCAGCGACCUGAGCUAAAGGAAACAAGUUUUUACAACAAGGUGACGGGAAGAAGGUCGGAUCGUCUGAUUGGUUGUUUUAACACAACAGAUCCUCUCAGUGAGGUUCGACUCUGUUUGAUGUGGGAGCCCCGCCCCUCCUCUCCUGUCAAAACGCUCCCGCACUAAAAACACAAACGAAGCGAGGAGAUGAUUUUAUUAUUUGCGUUUGGCGUGGAGAUCAAAGUCGUAGUAAUGGGACUGAGUGGCGUCUGUGCAGCUCACAUUGUUUGUUUACCUCUGAGAGGUUAUGACAUCAUGACAUGUGAAACCGUACAGACCGUGUCAGCGAUCCUCUGCUGCUGUGGGAUCAAUAUGAGAGUAUGAAGGAGGGAUGAUGGCGGCGCUGUGUGAUGGCGUUUUAGUGGACUUAAGAAACGACCACGAUGAUAAUGUCCAGAGCGGGGGGGUCGGACUGGACUGGCAGAGGUAUUCUGUGACACUAUGGGGGUGUGGACUUGCCCCUUUUUACAACAGCUGAUAUCCCUGAUAACAGUCCGGUAUCCAUUACUCGAUGCUCCGUCCAGCCGCCAUUACAAAUUACCUGGAGGUCACGACCUUAGAGCCACUCAGCUUCCUCGCCGCUCUCCCCCCCAGCCGACUGCCGGCCAGUACCAUUCAAUACCUCAGGUCCAGUUUCCCCAUCUGUAUCUAUCACCCCCACAGUCCCAUAGUCGUGUCUGGACCGGCUCGGGGGGGUGGCGGGGGUGUUGGCGCCUAAACAGCAGCAGAUGUGUCUCCGCUGAGAACACCGGCCCUAAUUAACUUCAAUGGAUUUCCUAAUGCGACAGCUACCAUAUUUCAUUUACCGCGCACCCGGACCCCAGCGGACCUGCCGACGGGGGCCAACUGAUACUGAGGGAUGUGGAGGGUGUUGGCAGUGAGAGAGAGAGAGAGAGAGGGGUGAGGAGAUGGGGGGGGAGAGAGGCGGAAACCAGAGCGGUAGACAUGACCCCUCUUACCGCCGGGAAAUCAAUUGAUUCAACGUUUUUAUGGCGCAGAGGCGGCGAGGAGAAGCUGCAGCCGAGUCAGCAACCUCAGGCAGGUGUCAGGUUUAACAGCAGAGGCGACUUAUCAUGUCAGUAAAUCAAACAUGGAGACAGUAUAAGUCAGUCCGCCCAGAGCUAAUCAAGAUAAAGGAGGAAGGAGCGAGCGUUUAAUUCACUUCUUCUUCUUCUUCUACCGUUAGUUUGUUUCAGAAAAGACGACGUGUUUUUGAGUCAAAGAACUUUAGCAGGAAGUUUUGACAUGUGGCAGUUUUGGCCAGCUGUUCAUUAAAGCUGCUGUCAGUGACUUUUAGUGUGCGCCAACUUUGGCGCCCUCUGUGGACAAAGUGAGACCUCCUGAACAAAGAUGUUUUUAGACACAAACUUUAAAGUAAAAUAAAGACAUUUCAGUCAAGAAUUAUUUUAUUUUCAUAGAGUUUCUGUUAAUUAUUAUUAUUAUUAUUAUUAUUAUUAUUAUUAUUAUUAUUACUAUUAUUAUUAUUAUUGUUGUUGUUGUUAUUAUUUUUAUUAUUAUUAUUUUCUGAGGGAAUAAGUUUAAAGUUUAGGCAGAUAUUUACUUUAUUGACUUCCUUUUUUUUAAUAUGUUUAACAAUUUUUCAAUGAACAUUAAAAUGAAAAGAAACAAUAUUUACAUAUAUUUAAACAUAAUGAUUAAAAAAACACAGGAGUACAAAACCCAGCACAUCAAGAAUUACAGCUAUAUUACAUGGUCAUAAAAUGAGUAUCAACUAUACAGAAUAUAAAGGCAAACAUAAGAUUAUGAUCGUAAUAAUAAUACUAAAAUAAAUAGGUACUUUUGUUUGCACUAUGCGCUCACCUUUCAGUACAGGGUCCCAUGUUUUAUCAAACGUAUCUCCUCUAUCUUUACUGUGUUUGACAAUUCUCCUGAGCAUAAGAUAAGAGUAAGAAAAGAGUCUGUUUUCCAAACUCGUAGAAUCAGCUUUUUAGCGAUCACCAUCCCGAACUGAACUGCACUUCUUUCAAAAGUAUUGACAGAAAAGAAGGACACAUGUGGCCCCAAGAAAGACAACCAGAGGGUUGGGUGACAGAUUUUUACCAAAGUACAUUUCUAAAAUAAAUGAAGUUUACUACCUGCCCAGAAUGAAUGUGUUAGGGUACCUAUCGAAAAAAAACAGAGACUCUCAGGGGUGUCGGACACUCGCCCUUAUUUUCCGUCUUUGACACGAAGGGUUAAAGGAGAUGAACACGUCUGCUAACAGAGAUGGAUGCAGGAGAGGAGAGGGAGUGAAGGGGGUGGGGGUAUUUAUGGUCCUGGGUCUGAUUGUUCCUGUACACGUGAGGGCGCACAGCUGGGGGAGAGGAGGGAAAUGGGGUACAGAUGUAGUGUAUCAAACACAGAGGCCUGAACUUCAAUAGAUACAUUACUGCCCCUCCCCCCCAACGCCGCCGCCACACAUCAAAAACCUCCAUCCACCUUUUUCUCACCCUUCUAGCUACCGCCCCCCCCACCGUUUUACCUGACAGACUCCUCCUUCGUUUUUUUCUCGCUCUGCGUUCAGUCCGCUUCAUCCGCCGUCGUUUACGACCGCAGCAGGUAGACAUGGAGGCUGACCGUAACAAACACACACAAACACGCGUUAGCGGCGUCCAGCCCCUAAUGACACGGGUGUAUUAUCACGCCCCAGACGACAAUACAUCACAGCUGUUCACACCAACACCCCCUCCUCUAAAACACACACAUACAUGUACACACACACACACACACAUACAUGUACACAAAUCAUCAUGAGGACGUCUGCAGGAAGGACAGGAAGUAUGGGGGGGCGCCGUGUUUUAAGGUCGUGAGGUAAAGAGCGAGGCGCAUGAAUGAAGGUAUCACUGGAGGUAGAACUGACUCUGACCUUCUUCACCUCCUCCUCCUCCUCCUCCCUGCUAACUACAGAGAGAGAGAGAGAGAGAGAGCGAGCGAGGUUCCCCAAGGAGCCGAGCUGAGACGCUGGAUAAUUCCCGGUGCUUUCCCGGGGCCUGUAGAAGCAGGGGCCCCUCUGGAUUUGUCAGUUGUGACUGCAGCUGUCUCUGGGCGAAAAUGGACCACAGUGGACCUGACACUUGAUCCCUCCUCUCUUUUUCUCUGCCCCUCUUUUAUCUCUCUCUCUCUCUUUUUGCUCCAUCGUUCCUUUCACUGUUAAAUUUUUAUCCCUCUCUCACUUUUUCUUCUCUGAGUCGACUUUAAGGACGUGAUAGACCUAAAAUCUGAGCUCAGUUCCUGUCAGUCCUUUCUUUCCUUUUACUCAUUUAACCGACCCACCGCCAUCUCCUCUAAACUCCUCCCACAUUAUCUAAGCUCUGGACGUAAACACUGAGACCUCGACCAAACAGCUGAAGUUGUGUAACAUCCAGACUUUCAGCUGAGCGAGGACAGAAACCUCCUACAGGUCGAGACGUUUGGACUUCAGAUAUUAAACUGAUUUAGUUAAAGCGUCCGCUCGCUGAAGUCGUCAUCGCCGCAAUUUUUCGUCUGUGUUUCUGACCUGGACUUAAGUAAAGUCUGGUUCUGGUUCUGGCAGGAUUAGGUGACUAAACUGGACCUGCCACAGUAUAACAGCACCGAGCAUUAAUGAGAUUAUUGUCCUGUUACUGAAGUCUGUCUAAUGUGAGCGUUUCUGUUUAUUUUAUUUUAACUGUGAUCUGCUCCUUUUUCACGGAGGCCAACUGCAGUUCCCUCCUUUGACCUUUAGGGGGAGUUUAAUCGUCGUUCUGUCACCGGUACCUGAGAAGAGCGUCUGAGCUAAUUGGCUCGCUUUCGUCCCUCCAUCACAUCUGGUUCCCAGAGCCGCUCAGUCAGACCCGGGGUCUCUAUAAAGUGGAACACCGCCCAUAAAAUCUCCAUUAGAGCGAGGCUGCCUGGAGGUCGCCGUGAGGAGAAUCAGGGGGUCAGCGCUCCACUGUAAUGCCUUUACACGUGGGGUCAGAGGUCAGCGCUGUUGACAUUCCUCCCAUGACGGUCUGAUAUAAGCAUGAUUGAUCUGCUGGCUCUGGGAAGUCCAGUCCCCUCUGGGCUCCUGAACAUUUAUGUUCUGGUCCUGCAUCUAUCUCCUCGACCGUCCGAGCGUCUCUCUCUCUCUCUCUCUGUGUCUCUCUCUCUCUCUCUCUCUCUCUCUCUCUCUCUCUCUCUCCGACCUCGGUGCUGGUGGAUCUCAGAGCUUUGGUGUCACUCAGGGAUUGACCUUGGAGGAAAAGUACCAGAGAGUGUUUAUCUGUCUUUCCUCUGAACCACAGCAGAUUAAAGAAGGGAGUCCUGAUUGAUCGCCCACUUUCUGGGCGGGGCCUCCUCAGGUUCUUCAGUUAGCAGCUCCAUGAGAGCUACAGUGGCGAGCUGAGAGUUAUCGCCCCGUCAAAUUCCACACCUUCAGAGCGCCCGCGGUCUGGGACGGGAGGUGAAGUAUCUGAGUGGUACAUUUCUGCCCCUGUUCAUACAUUCUCUGCUUUUACUGCCGACCCGUUAGAGGGUCUCCUGCAGGUCCCUCCUCCUGGUGGUGGGGGCCUUUCUUAUAGGGUUGGGCGGUGAGAAGAUCUGAAGGUAAACUGGCGAUGUCUUUCAAAAGCAAUGGUUUCAGUUUCAAUACCGUCAUAGCAUCAGCGCUGUGUUAUAUUCCUGGAGUGUAAUUACCGUAACUCCGUCAAAGCUGAGAGUUGUGGGAAUGCACCUAUAUUAGAUUCACUACGGUAGGCAGUCAUUGCAAAACACAGGAAGUAUUGACAGCUUCUCAAUACCGUAACUCUUUGAAAGUUUGCUCAAUCUGGAAAAAUCCAACACCGACAGACAGCUGAGUAUCUGAGCUUCUGUCAAUAUAUGAUCUAUGGUAUAUAUUACGGUAAUCUGGAACGGUACCAACAAAACCGCAACUUUGACAGAAGACGAGGGAGAAAAGGAGAGUGGAGGAAGACAGAGCGAGAAAAUUAAUUUUUUUUUAAAAUUUAUUGAUAAAUAUUAGUAAACAGUAAUAAUAUAAAGGUGACCACAAGAGAUGGAAACGCAUCUCUGAAUCAACCACCCACUUUGGAUGCAUUUGUCCCCGAGUUCACUCAGUGCAACAGUUUCAACGCCUCCCGCCGAUACCGACCAGGUCCAACAACAACUAAAUCCAACGCCACUCAUACACAGCUGACAGUAAUGGGGGUCUUCGGAAAAACUACGAAGUAAAAAAGGGACCGUGUCUGUUUGAAAACCUGCAGUGAUGCAGAGACAAAAACUUGACGAAGGAAACGGUCUCUGUCCACACAAUUCUGGGCUAAAUCGGUUCUGGAUGGUUCUGUUCAUUUAAUUUAUCAACUGUUUUGCACCUUUUAAGCUGUUUCUAAUAAAUAUUGUUCAUAUUGUUCACAUUAUGUUGUUAUUUAAUUAUUAGUUUUUAGUGUUUAGGUUCUGAACGGUGUCGGUACAAGCCAACAGUUUGGUGACGCUGUCUGAACCUUCAGUCAUAAUUUUAAUUAUUCACUGUAACACUGUAUACCGCGGUGAAAUUUGGACACCGCCCAACUCUACUUUCUUAGUGAAUCUAGAUUUGUUGGAAACAUCGUUCUCUGAUUUUCUCGAUCUGAUCGUCGUUGACCUUCUGUCUUUAAAACCAGGAAAUGACGAGUCUCUUACUGUAAGGAGACGAGUGAAGAAAACACGCCCAUCUUUCCCGUAGGCCGCUCCCUCAUUACGGACCACUCACAGUCCGGCUUAUCUCCCCAGAUCAGAGCCACAGUCGGGUCCAUAAUACCCCAGGAUGAACUCAAUCACAUGUAAUUGGAGGCUUUAUUUUCUCCAGCUCUGUGAAGAUAACCUCCUCGCCGCCACCGCCGCCGCGGUCUCUGCUGUCUCUGAGUAAACAAACAAACAAACAAACAAACUUGGAAACAGACGGUCAGAGGCUGGGCGGGCUGGUCAGGGUUCAGUCGCCGGGGCAACGGGAUCCCGGGCCGUUUGUUUUCCCCCUGGGAGGUGAGGCGGUGGGAUCGGGGGGGCGGCUGGUUGUUUAUUACUAUAAUUUGUCUGAGCGGCUCUGAAGGAUCUCAGGACUCUUUGAAGCGGGUCUGGAUCAAGCCUGGAGCGUGGCAUGCUGUGCCGGGACUUUAGCCCAAUUUCCAAUCCG